rnacentral:rRNA from 1 species
AGUGAACGCUGGCGGUAGGCCUAACACAUGCAAGUCGAACGGCAGCACAGUAAGAGCUUGCUCUUACGGGUGGCGAGUGGCGGACGGGUGAGGAAUACAUCGGAAUCUACUUUUUCGUGGGGGAUAACGUAGGGAAAAUUACGCUAAUACCGCAUACGACCUACGGGUGAAAGCAGGGGAUUUUCGGACCUUGCGCGAUUGAAUGAGCCGAUGUCGGAUUAGCUAGUUGGCGGGGUAAAGGCCCACCAAGGCGACGAUCCGUAGCUGGUCUGAGAGGAUGAUCAGCCACACUGGAACUGAGACACGGUCCAGACUCCUACGGGAGGCAGCAGUGGGGAAUAUUGGACAAUGGGCGCAAGCCUGAUCCAGCCAUACCGCGUGGGUGAAGAAGGCCUUCGGGUUGUAAAGCCCUUUUGUUGGGAAAGAAAAGCAGCAGGUUAAUACCCCGCUGUUCUGACGGUACCCAAAGAAUAAGCACCGGCUAACUUCGUG